rnacentral:rRNA from 1 species
UAGGUAAUCUUCGGCAAUGGACGGAAGUCUGACCGAGCAACGCCGCGUGAGUGAAGAAGGUUUUCGGAUCGUAAAGCUCUGUUGUUAGAGAAGAACGUUGGUAGGAGUGGAAAAUCUACCAAGUGACGGUAACUAACCAGAAAGGGACGGCUAACUACGUGCCAGCAGCCGCGGUAAUACGUAGGUCCCGAGCGUUGUCCGGAUUUAUUGGGCGUAAAGCGAGCGCAGGCGGUUCUUUAAGUCUGAAGUUAAAGGCAGUGGCUUAACCAUUGUACGCUUUGGAAACGGGAGGACUUGAGUGCAGAAGGGGAGAGUGGAAUUCCAUGUGUAGCGGUGAAAUGCGUAGAUAUAUGGAGGAACACCGGUGGCGAAAGCGGCUCUCUGGUCUGUAACUGACGCUGAGGCUCGAAAGCGUGGGGAGCAAACAGG